AAGUCGUAACAAGGUCUCCGUAGGUGAACCUGCGGAGGGAUCAUUAACACGUUUUAAAACACGUUUUAACACAACCAACCAACCACGUGAACUAUUUAACACUCCUGGAAGAAAAGAAUUCUGUCUCUUCUCAUCAUCAAUGAGUUGUGUAAUACUUUGUGCGCAAGCACAAUUACUUACAUUUCGGUGAGUCUAGACUAGCAUUGCAGUUAAGAGCUGACUUGUAAAGACCUUUUCUUUUGGGCUAAAUGCGUCCCUCAUUGCUGGCGCGAAAACACCCCUUUCACCACUUCUAUAACCAUUGACUGAUCUUUCUCUUCUUCUCUACUAUGGCAACAUAGUCUUGAAGCAAUUGAAAACCUAAUCAAAUAUCUAAGCACAACUCUUAGCAACGGAUAUCUUGGUUCUC
rnacentral:misc_RNA from 1 species